ensembl:lncRNA
GUAACACCGCAGUUAGCCAAACGGGAGAUUGAGCGCGCGCACACACACAUACAUACACACACUCUCACACACACUCAGCAGUGAGGAAGAGAGUUGCAGAAAGAAAGAAGCAAAGACAUCCUCAGCUCGCCCAAGAGUGUCAGUUUCCUCGUUGUUUGGAGAUCCUUGAUAUGACCCUCUUUAGCCCGAGAUACAUGAGCAUGAGUGGAGAGUUGAAGUCCAGCCGCUCCAGGGCAGCGAGUAAGAGGGCCAGCAACACCAUUUAUGGUUCCUCUCUAGCCUGGCGAGUCCCAGCUGUGAAAGGAGGGAUGGGGUAGAGAGAGCAGCAAGCAUUUCACAUCCAGAUGUUGCUGCUGCAGCCGUGGCCUCUGUGCGCUCCAGUGCACCACUACAAAAGCUCACUGUAUUGUGUGGCCCCUAUAGGGAGGCUCAGGUGCCAGAAAGAAGAAGCCAGAGGUGUCAUGUGCCGUGUGUGUAUUUAUAUGAUGACUUAGAUAGCUUUAUGGGUUAAACACCAUGAAAGACUGCUGAUGGUUUUUAAUAAAUGUCUGUGGUGAUGAGUUCCUGUUGUACGUACAUCUCCUUCAGGCAAUUCCUCAGAUACUUCUUUAAAUGCGGCCUAAAGCAGUGGUCCCUAACAACCGGGCCACUUGGUUCAGGGCUGCAGACGAAGAAGAAAAUCACAAUUACAUGCGCUUUUCCCUUUUUUAGUCGUGCGCAGCAAUUACUAACCCCC